GACGAACGCUGGCGGCGUGCCUAACACAUGCAAGUCGAGCGGAGAUUAUAGCAAUAUAAUCUUAGCGGCGGACGGGUGAGUAACGCGUGGGCAACCUGCCUCAUACUGGGGGAUAACACUGGGAAACUAGUGCUAAUACCGCAUAAUAUCACUAGAUGGCAUCAUUUGGUGAUCAAAGGAGCAAUCCGGUGUGAGAUGGGCCCGCGUCCGAUUAGCUAGUUGGUGAUGUAACGGACCACCAAGGCGACGAUCGGUAGCCGAACUGAGAGGUUGAUCGGCCACAUUGGGACUGAGACACGGCCCAGACUCCUACGGGAGGCAGCAGUGGGGAAUAUUGCGCAAUGGGGGAAACCCUGACGCAGCAACGCCGCGUGAAGGAUGAAGGUCUUCGGAUUGUAAACUGCUUUUAUCUGUGACGAAUAUGACGGUAGCAGAUGAAUAAGGAUCGGCUAACUCCGUGCCAGCAGCCGCAGUAA
rnacentral:rRNA from 1 species